UAGACAGCUUGCAGUUAUGAAUGUGUUUAACAGAGCUUUUUUUUCUUUUGAAGGUAAACAGAAAUAGGGACUGCAAUCUUUAAUAGUACAAAAACUAUAUAUCCAAAGAAAAUCUCUAAUCAACAGAUAAAGUAUAUCAGACAGAGGAUGCUAUAACAUGACAAAAUGUCUUACAAGGGAUUCGGAUACGUUGUGGACUCAUGCCCCCAUAGCAAAGAAAAUUUAACGGAGGCAUCGACUAGACUAAAUUGCAGUGUUGAUGAGAACGGACGCAAUCAGUAUGUGUGUAUCCCGAAUGAAGACCUGACAGCCAUUGUGGAAUUCUGUUAUACCAAAUCUAUUGUUGCACUCUAUCAGGCUGGUAAUUGUCUGAAAACAUUUCAAGAUGGAUUUUUGGACCACAUUAGUUGUAAAAAUUUUACAAAGGGAUGCCCAUCAGAACCGUUCAGAAGUACAGACCUGUAUAAAUAUCCAGCUUGCAGUCGUCUUAGGAGGGAGUACCGGUGUUUUGUUGCAGAUCCUUUGUGUCAUU